UACGAAGGGGGCUAGCGUUGUUCGGAAUUACUGGGCGUAAAGCGCGCGUAGGCGGACUGGCAAGUCGGGGGUGAAAUGCCGAGGCUCAACCUCGGAACUGCCUUCGAUACUGCCAUGUCUUGAGGUCGGGAGAGGUGAGUGGAACUCCGAGUGUAGAGGUGAAAUUCGUAGAUAUUCGGAAGAACACCAGUGGCGAAGGCGGCUCACUGGCCCGAUUCUGACGCUGAGGCGCGAAAGCGUGGGGAGCAAACAGG
rnacentral:rRNA from 1 species